rnacentral:rRNA from 1 species
AACGAACGCUGGCGGCAGGCCUAACACAUGCAAGUCGAGCGCGCGCUUUCGGGCGUGAGCGGCGGACGGGUGAGUAACGCGUGGGAACGUACCCUUUGCUACGGAAUAGCCACUGGAAACGGUGAGUAAUACCGUAUGAGCCCUUCGGGGGAAAGAUUUAUCGGCAAAGGAUCGGCCCGCGUUGGAUUAGGUAGUUGGUGGGGUAAUGGCCUACCAAGCCUACGAUCCAUAGCUGGUUUUAGAGGAUGAUCAGCCACACUGGGACUGAGACACGGCCCAGACUCCUACGGGAGGCAGCAGUGGGGAAUCUUAGACAAUGGGGGCAACCCUGAUCUAGCCAUGCCGCGUGAGUGACGAAGGCCUUAGGGUCGUAAAGCUCUUUCGCCUGUGAUGAUAAGA